rnacentral:lncRNA from 1 species
UUUGAUGCUUCUAAUGAUGUAGAGUUGUGGACUAGAUAUCAUAAAAGGAUUCACCAAAUUGACAAUAUUUGGGGCAAGCUUCUUUUCCUCUGCAAAUGAGCUUGCAUAAGGUGCUUAAGCUUUCUGAAGAAGUGAGUUUAUCUCAUAGUCAACUCAACAAGUUAAUACAUAUGCCAUCAACAGAUAGCUAAUGUAAAACAAAAAUAAAGAUCCAAGAAGUUCCUCACCUUUCAAAGGGGAUUAGGAAGCACGAGAAUAUAAAAACCUCUAAACUGCUUCACCAUCAAUAUAAAGUUGCCACAGCCUCGAUUGCAAAGGAAGCCAUUAGUUGGAUCAAUGAAGCAGACAACUUAUGAAAUAAUAUAUUGAUCCAUAACCAGCAAUGCUAAAAUAAGAAGACCCAGUCUUCCUAACAAUUUACAAUGGACCAAUACCACUUCUCUUACAACAAACUACUGGGAAUUCUGGACAGUAGAGGACCAACACCCAUGGGUUAUAAUAAAAAAACAUUCACUUUAAGUUCAUGUUCUAUCAAAAGGUAGUAACUAGAUGCUGAAGUAGCAUCUAUACUGAUUACAUCACCACAAUUCACAGGGGCAUUUAUUUAACCUCAAUUUACAAUCAUAUAUAAAAAAGAACAUUUGAAAGUAUGAAAAGCAUAGCACUGAUAUAAACACAACUAUCGCAUAGAGAUAUUAAUAAAACGAGAACCAGGAAGGACAUGCGGUAUAAUUUUGGUGAAAAGCGUAGCAGUGAGAUAAACACAACUAUCGUCUAUAUAGAGAUGUAAACGGGUAAUAUAAUUAAACGUCGGUAUCAACUCAAAACCAGGAAUGACCCGAUUGUAUAAAUAGCUUUGAACAUUUUGGGUUAAAAUUGAAAUGAAGGAAUGUACCUUGUUCGUUGCAGUUGCAAUUGCAGUCUAUCAAAUGGGCAUGCUUCAAUUGCGAGCAGUAAUGCAUGGAUUUACAUAAAAGAACGAAUCACAAAUAGGCAACCGGAGAUGCAGGAGACAAGUAGAAGAGACAAUAAUGCCAAGACAGAAAGGGGGCAGAGCCGGGGGAAAAUAAAAUUAUAUAUAUCCCGUGCCAAUCCCCACCCCCCCCCCCCUAAAAACAAAGAAAAUUAAAAUUUUAUUAGGGUUUAUGACCUGCCAUGCAAGCGCACCUGUCAUGGCAAAGGUCUGAUAACACCAAAAUCAGUCAGUGUUUCUUUUCCCUCAAAAUUUUCACCUCUUAUGUUAAUUUCACACACUCGAUCCUUCGACUCUAAUAGCA